UACAGAGACUGCAAGCGUUAUUCGGAUUCACUGGGCGUAAAGGGUGCGUAGGCGGCGCGGUAAGUCGGGUGUGAAAUCUCCGGAGCUUAACUCCGAAACUGCAUUCGAUACUGCCGUGCUUGAGGACUGGAGAGGAGACUGGAAUUUACGGUGUAGCGGUGAAAUGCGUAGAUAUCGUAAGGAAGACCAGUGGCGAAGGCGGGUCUCUGGACAGUCCUGACGCUGAGGCACGAAGGUCAGGGGAGCAAACGGG
rnacentral:rRNA from 1 species